rnacentral:misc_RNA from 1 species
GAAAUGCGAUAAGUAAUGUGAAUUGCAGAAUUCAGUGAAUCAUCGAAUCUUUGAACGCACCUUGCGCUCCUUGGUAUUCCUUGGAGCAUGCCUGUUUGAGUAUCAUGAAAUCUUCAAAGUAAAUCUUUUGUUAACUCAAUUGGUUUCUACUUUAGUAUUGGAGGUCUUUGCAGCUUCACACCUGCUCCUCUUUGUUCAUUAGCUGGAUCUCAGUGUUAUGCUUGGUUCCACUCGGCGUGAUAAGUUAACUAUCGCUGAGGACACUGUAAAAGGUGGCCAAGGUAAAUGCAGAUGAACCGCUUCUAAUAGUCCAUUGACUUGGACAAUACUUUUAUGAUCUGAUCUCAAAUCAGGUAGGACUACCCGCUGAACUUAAGC